rnacentral:rRNA from 1 species
GAUGAACGCUGGCGGCGUGCCUAACACAUGCAAGUCGAACGAGCGAGAGAGAGCUUGCUUUCUCGAGCGAGUGGCGAACGGGUGAGUAACGCGUGAGGAACCUGCCUCAAAGAGGGGGACAACAGUUGGAAACGACUGCUAAUACCGCAUAAGCCCACGACCCGGCAUCGGGUUGAGGGAAAAGGAGCAAUCCGCUUUGAGAUGGCCUCGCGUCCGAUUAGCUAGUUGGUGAGGUAACGGCCCACCAAGGCGACGAUCAGUAGCCGGACUGAGAGGUUGACCGGCCACAUUGGGACUGAGAUACGGCCCAG